CAGCCAUAUCACUUUAGAACCAGUUCUCGUACGAUCACCGAAGUUAAGAAACGUCGAGCCUGGUCAGUACCUAGAUGGGUGAUCGCUUGGGAAUACCAGCUGCUGUAAG